rnacentral:rRNA from 1 species
GCCUAGGAAUUUGCCUGGUAGUGGGGGAAACUUAAAAAAGGAACGCUAAUUCCGCAUACGUCCUACGGGAGAAAGUGGGGGAUCUUCGGACCUCACGCUAUCAGAUGAGCCUAGGUCGGAUUAGCUAGUUGGUGAGGUAAAGGCUCACCAAGGCGACGAUCCGUAACUGGUCUGAGAGGAUGAUCAGUCACACUGGAACUGAGACACGGUCCAGACUCCUACGGGAGGCAGCAGUGGGGAAUAUUGGACAAUGGGCGAAAGCCUGAUCCAGCCAUGCCGCGUGUGUGAAGAAGGUCUUCGGAUUGUAAAGCACUUUAAGUUGGGAGGAAGGGCAGUAAGUUAAUACCUUGCUGUUUUGACGUUACCGACAGAAUAAGCACCGGCUAACUUCGUGCCAGCAGCCGCGGUAAUACGAAGGGUGCAAGCGUUAAUCGGAAUUACUGGGCGUAAAGCGCGCGUAGGUGGUUCGUUAAGUUGGAUGUGAAAGCCCCGGGCUCAACCUGGGAACUGCAUCCAAAACUGGCGAGCUAGAGUAUGGCAGAGGGUGGUGGAAUUUCCUGUGUAGCGUUGAAAUGCGUAGAUAUAGGAAUGAACACCAGUGGCGAAGCGACCACCUGGGCUAAUACUGACACUGAGGUGCGAAAAGCGUGGGGAGCAAACAGGAUUAGAUACCCUUGGUAGUCUAACGCC